AAUCAAGCGCGAGAAGGGCGUUUGGUGAAUGCCUUGGCAGUAAGAGGCGAUGAAGGACGUGAUACUCUGCGAUAAGCUAGGGGGAGCCGAGAAUAGGCUUUGAUCCCUGGAUUUCCGAAUGGGGCAACCCACCUGACACCGUUCAAUUACGGCUCGCAAGAGCCGCUAAUUGGACGAUGAACCAGGUAUUUAUGACCUGAAUACAUAGGGUUAUAAAGGCAAACCCGGGGAACUGAAACAUCUAAGUACCCGGAGGAAAGGACAUCAAUAGAGACUCCGUCAGUAGCGGCGAGCGAACGCGGACCAGCCGAGCCUUGAGAGCGACCAGAACAAUCUGGAAAGAUUGGCCAUAGCGGGUGACAGCCCCGUAUGGGAAGUUUGAUGGGACGUAUCAAGUAGGGCGGGACACGUGAAAUCCUGUCUGAAGAUCGGAGGACCACCUCCGAAGGCUAAGUACUCCUUACUGACCGAUAGUGAACCAGU
rnacentral:rRNA from 1 species